AGCAUAUGCUUGUCUCAAAGACUAAGCCAUGCAUGUCUAAGUAUAAAUGAUAUACAGUGAAACUGCGAAUGGCUCAUUAAAACAGUUAUAGUUUAUUUGGUAAUCGAAUUUACAUGGAUAACCGUGGUAAUUCUAGAGCUAAUACAUGCUGUAAAGUCCGACUUCACGGAAGGGCCGUAUUUAUUAGAUAACAGACCAAUAUUCCUCGUGUCUAUUGUGGUGAAUCAUAGUAACUAAUCGGAUCGCAUGGGCUAGUCCCGCGACAAACCAUUCAAGUUUCUGCCCCAUCAGCUUUCGAUGGUAGUGUAUUGGACUACCAUGGCUUUUACGGGUAACGGAGGAUUAGGGUUCGAUUCCGGAGAGGGAGCCUGAGAAACGGCUACCACAUCUAAGGAAGGCAGCAGGCGCGUAAAUUACCCAAUCCUAAUUCAGGGAGGUAGUGACAAGAAAUAACGGGUCGGGGCUAUGCCCCGGGACUGCAAUGAGAUGAAUUUACACCCCUUUUCGAGUAACAAU
rnacentral:rRNA from 1 species